rnacentral:rRNA from 1 species
GCCGUAAACGAUGAACACUAGGUGUCGGGGGAAUCGACCCCCUCGGUGUCGUAGCCAACGCGUUAAGUGUUCCGCCUGGGGAGUACGCACGCAAGUGUGAAACUCAAAGGAAUUGACGGGGGCCCGCACAAGCGGUGGAGUAUGUGGUUUAAUUCGAUGCAACGCGAAGAACCUUACCAGGGCUUGACAUCCUGCGAACCUCUGGGAAACCGGAGGGUGCCUUCGGGAACGCAGUGACAGGUGGUGCAUGGCUGUCGUCAGCUCGUGUCGUGAGAUGUUGGGUUAAGUCCCGCAACGAGCGCAACCCACGUCUUUAGUUGCCAGCAUUUAGUUGGGCACUCUAGAGAGACCGCCGGUGACAAACCGGAGGAAGGUGUGGAUGACGUCAAGUCAUCAUGCCCCUUACGUCCUGGGCUACACACGUACUACAAUGCUACGGACAAAGAGCAGCAAGUUCGCGAGGACAAGCAAAUCUCAUAAACCGUGGCUCAGUUCAGAUCGUAGGCUGCAACUCGCCUACGUGAAGGAGGAAUCGCUAGUAAUCGCAGGUCAGCAUACUGCGGUGAUACGUUCCCG